CUGUCAUUCAAAAGCUGUGUUUGAAGGAAGAACUUAAAUGAAACUCGGCAUUCUCUCUUCUCCCCGAAGGAGUGAAGUACUAGGGAGAAGGCAAAGUGCCUUAGGGGGCAACAUCUAGAUGAUACUCUGCAAGCAUGCGCGGGGUGGGGGUUGUUCGAAACUCCCUGGAGGAAGUGGAGCAGCUGUCCACAGGAAUGUCGGAGAUUGCCGAAACCGCUACUGCCUCUGAAGGUUUAUGUUUCCGGAUCGUACGUCACCUUCACUAUGACCUGAAGCGGGUUUCCUGGUGUCUCUGAGCCUUGGCUUACUUCUGGUACCAGGAUAAGAGCAGCUAGCCUCCAGGAUUGUUGUAAAAUUAAAUAUCAGCUCAUUAAAUAAAUAAUAAAAAAAAGUAAGCAAAAUG